AGGACGAACGCUGGCGGCGUGCUUAACACAUGCAAGUCGAGCGGAAAGGCCACUUCGGUGGUACUCGAGCGGCGAACGGGUGAGUAACACGUGAGUAAUCUGCCCCUGGCUUCGGGAUAGCCACCGGAAACGGUGAUUAAUACCGGAUACGACAACUUCUCGCAUGGGAUGGUUGUGGAAAGUUUUUCGGCCAGGGAUGUGCUCGCGGCCUAUCAGCUUGAUGGUGAGGUAAUGGCUCACCAUGGCUUCGACGGGUAGCCGGCCUGAGAGGGUGAUCGGUCACACUGGGACUGAGACACGGCCCAGACUCCUACGGGAGGCAGCAGUGGGAAUAUGGACAAUGGGCGAAGCCUGAUCCAGCAACGCGCGUGAGGAUGACGGCCUUCGGGUUGUAACCUCUUUCAGUACCGACGAAGCGCAAGUGACGGUAGGUACAGAAGAAGCACCGGCUAACACGUGCCAGCAGCCGC
rnacentral:rRNA from 1 species